rnacentral:lncRNA from 1 species
AUGUCAACGACAUCGGAACAUCCGCUUCAAGAAAAGGACUCUAGCGAGACGCCUUCACCCUCUACCCAAAGUGCCAAUUACGAGACCAAAAGCGUGGCUUCGCGACGGUCUCAAUCUAGUAAACAUUCUUCUGUUGUCUCAGAGGCACUGCGUGCCCGUGCCAACGCUGAGGCAAGUAAGGUAAGGUUAGAGUUCGCACGUAAAGAAGCCGAACUACAGAAACAAAGGGCUGCUCAGGAUGCCGAGCUUUUUGUAUUGGGAGCAGAAAGAGAUGCUGCUAUGGCCGAAGUACAAGUCUCGGUUUUUGAAGAAGGACUUGAAGACUUCGGGGAGUCUGUGAAGAGUGUGGAUUUAGUUCUUCCACAAAAGGACUCUAGGGAACGUGUGGAAGAAUUUUUGUUAUCUUGUGAUGCAAUUAAGAAUGUAGAUGGUAAUGUUCAAGCAAAUAUUAACAAAAUCUCCCACAAGACACACCCUAUUUCCUCCCAACAUCCCGAAGAAAUGGUAAUGGAUCAAGAAGGUGAAAUGCAAACAGAAUGUAAUACAUCCCCUAAUGUUGUUCCUACUUGCUCCCCUCUGCCUCUUGAAAUGGAAAAUGGUCAAAAGGGAUCAAAGGUUGUAGAUAAUGCCUCUAAUGUAGUUCUUACUACUCCUUCACAUGUAGAAACUGUAGUUGGAAUUUCUGAUUUAAGUAACAUGUUGCUGAAGAAAGAAUUGAUAACUAGUGGCUUGAGAAAAUUUAAUGAUCAUGCAUUUAGUUACAGGUCUUGGAAAGCCUCUCUCAAACAAGUAACCACAGAGCUUAAGUUGAAGCCCUUUCAAGAGAUGGAUUUGAUAAUUAGGUGGUUGGGCAAGGAGUCUUCCCAGUUGGUCUCAGCUAUCUAUGACAUACAUGUUGAUAAGCCAAAGAUUGGUCUUGAUAGAAUGUGGGAACUCUUAGACAGGAAGUAUGGGUCCCCAGAGGCAAUUGAACAGGAUCUUCAUCAAAGGAUUGAAGACUUUCCCAAACUAACACAAAAGGACUAUGAAAAGCUAGAGCAGUAUGGUCAUUUGCUCUUAGAGAUUGAGUAUGCCAAAGAUAAUGGAAAUUUCCCAGGGUUGUUGCAUUUGGACUCGGCAAGAGGGUUACAUGGAUUGGUCCAGAAGCUGCCACAUAGCCUCCAAGAGAGAUGGGUAAUGGAGGGCUCUCGGUACAAGGAGAGGAACCAUGUGACCUUCCCGCCUUUCAAGGUCUUCAGCGAGUUUGUCCGCUAUCAGGCAAAGAUUCGGAAUGACCCUAGCUUCAUAAUGCCUCGUGACACAAAGCAACAGGAUGUUACAAGAAGAAUGGUCAGUGUCAGAGCUACGGAUGUAAAGACUGUUAGUUCUACAGCAUCAAAGGUCUUUUGCCCCAUUCACAAGAAGAAUCACUCAAUCUUAGAGUGCAAGGCAUUUCUUGCGAAAACAGUUCCUGACAAGAAGACUGUCCUCAAACAAUACCAACUUUGUUAUAGGUGCUGUUUUCCAGGACACGCAGCACGAGAGUGUAAAGCUGAGGUUAAAUGCGACUCGUGUGGUAGCCAACGCCACCAAACAAUUCUACACUAUGAGUAUCGCAAUGACUCACCAAAGAGUUCGCAGAAAGCUGUAGACACCCCUCCAUCCCAAAUUACCAAUGCAUGCUCCAAAGUGCAGGGUACAAGAUGCAUCGGUAGCAGAUCUUGUGCGAAGAUUGUUCCUGUCUUCGUCAGGUCAAAGAGGGAUCAGAAGGUUGUCAAGACGUACGCCAUCAUAGAUGAUCAAAGCAACAAGACCAUAGCUACAUCGCAACUUUUAGACAAGUUUGAUAUUGACUAUGGUAGGGUAAGUUACACUCUACGCACUUGCAGUGGAGAAGUGUCAGCUCAAGGAAGGUAUGCUGAUGAAUUUGUGGUAGAGGAUCUAAAUGGCACUGUCUGUUUGAGUUUGCCAACGGUCACUGAGUGUGCUUACAUCCCUGAUUUCAAAGAUGAUAUUCCAACACCUGAGAUAGUUCAAGCAUAUGAUCAUCUAAAAGGCAUUGAGAUUCCAGAGAUUGAUCAUGAAUGCACAGCAACUCUUUUGAUAGGAAGGGACGUGAUGGAAGCACACCAUGUCCUAGAUCAAAGGAUUGGGCCUCCUAACUCGCCGUUCGCACAAAGGCUGAAGCUUGGCUGGGUUAUCAUUGGUGACGUAUGCCUUCAAGGGAUUCAUCGGAGUGACAAGCACUCGAAUAGGAUUUCCCUGUUGCGUACUCAGGUGCUCUCUACAGGACGGCCUACAUACCUGGAACCCUGUCCAAAUGAGUUCCAAAUGAAACACUUGUUUGACAAUGAGGACGAUACCAUGAGUCUGGCUAUAGAGGAGCAACGGUUUGUAGAUCUUAUGGUGGAAGAGGCAGGCCUAAAGAAUGGAAAAUGGACAGCUCCGUUGCCCUUCAAGCAGCCGAGAGAUCGUCUGCCUAACAAUCGUCAACAAGCUUUCAAAAGAGCGCAGAUUCUCAAAGCGAGCAUGGAAAAGAAUCACCUCAAAAGAGAGCACAUGACCACAUUCAUGGCAAAGGUCUUAUCUGAAGGCCACGCGGAGGUGGCUCCCUCUCUGCAAGAAAACGAAGAGUGCUGGUACCUGCCAAUGUUUGGGGUGUAUCACCCAAGAAAGAAAGACAAAAUCAGAGGCGUCUUUGAUUCUUCGGCGGAGUUCAUGGGACACUCUUUGAACAAGGUUCUGUUGAAAGGUCCAGACCUUACCAACGAUUUGGUUGGGGUGUUGAUGAGGUUUCGGCAAGGACCGGUUGCAGUCUGCGGGGACAUUGAGUCGAUGUUCUACUGUUUUUCAGUAUCCGAAGAACACAGGAAUUUUCUCAGAUUCUUCUGGCACGAAGACAAUGAUUUUGCCAAACCCCUCACGGAGUAUCGUAUGCUGAAGCAUGUGUUUGGCAACACUCCAUCUCCAGCUGUAGCGAAUUAUGGUCUGAGGGACCUAACCAGUGACGCUGAACCAGACGUUAGGGACUUUGUUCACAACAAUUUCUAUGUGGAUGAUGGACUCGCUGCAUGUGAUGACAGCAACACAGCUGUUUCACUCAUGGAACGAACACGAGCCAAGCUAAAGGAGAAAGCUGGUAUUCGCCUGCACAAAAUUGCAUCCAACUCUCAAGUAGUACUCGAUGCCUUUGAGCCAGAGGAGGUUCAGAAGGAUAUUAGGAACCUCACGCUGAGUGAUGGGGCCCCUACACAAAGGAGUUUGGGUGUUCAGUGGAAUUUGAAGGACGACACCUUCAUUUUCCAAAUCGAGUUAGCGGCAAGACCCUACACAAAACGAGGAGUUCUGUCUAUGAUCAAUGGCGUGUUUGAUCCUCUGGGUUUCCUUGCCCCGGUCAUGGUACAAGCAAGAGUCCUGUUCAGAGAAAUGACUACUCACCAGGUGGAUUGGGAUGACAAGCUCCCUGAAAUGUACAAGUCCGUCUGGGAGUCUUGGACCUCUGGGCUAUCUGAGCUGCAAUCAGUGUCAGUUCCUCGCAACUACCCCAUCUGCCUAGAGAAUGGUGUCUUGAAUGUCUAUUGUGAUGCAUCCGAAGUCGCGGUUGCUGCCGUCGCAUACUUGAUAGAUGUGGACCAAGAGAAACCCAGUGCGAGUUUUGUCUUUGGAAAGUCGAAGCUAGCUCCAAGAUUAGGUCACACCAUACCAAGACUGGAGCUCUGCGCUGCAGUCUUAGGAACAGAAAUAGCCAGAAUUGUGUGUAGAGAGUUGAAUAUUCAGGCUUCGACUGUGGUUUUUCACUCCGACAGUAGGAUUGUUCUUGGGUAUUUGAAUAACACAGUCAGAAGAUUCCAUACCUAUAUAGCGAACCGGGUUCACAAGGUUCUUAGUUUCUCCCAACCCUCACAAUGGAGGUAUGUGCCUACAUCCAAUAACCCUGCUGACUUUGGUACCCGUCCGGUUUCAGCUCGGUCUCUGAAAGACUCUCCAUGGCUUAUUGGUCCGCAGAAGCCAGCUACUCAAGAAGUAGAGGAUCCUGUAUCGGAAUUCCCACUGGUAGAUCCCGACCGAGAUGAAGAAAUAAGACAUGAUGUGAAAAUCCAGGUCACAAAAACCAAUUUGGAGUUGCGAAGACUUGUUUCACGGUUUGAAAAGUUCUCAACAUGGAACAGCCUAGUUAGAGCUUUCGGUCUACUUGUACACAUUGCUUGUUCGUUCAGCUCUAGGAGCGGCAACGGUCGGUGCCAUGGCUGGCACGUUUGUGGUGCUACAGACGUAGAGCUCGUACGUCGUGUCAAGACAAUGAUAGUGAAGGAAGUACAGGAGCAGUUCUUUCACGAAGAAUAUGAAUGUCUCAGAGAGGGUGUGCCUCUACCCUCUAACUCCACUAUCCGGGACUUAUCACCCAUCCUGAAUCAAGACGGUUUGAUAUGCGUUGGUGGGCGCUUGAGGAAGUCCUCGCUUCCAGUGGUGAUGAAGCAUCCGGUGCUGAUACCAGGAAAGAGUCACAUUGCCAAACUUCUUGUACUACACUAUCACAAUAAUGGGCAUUCUGGCAGACAGUUGACAGAAGGUGCUUUGCGGGACGCGGGCUUUUGGAUAACUGGGGGCAAGAGAGUUAUAUCGUCUGUUAUCCAUCGUUGUGUGAACUGCCGUAAACUCAGAGGUAAGACCGCGCUCCAACGCAUGGCUGAUCUUCCCCAGGAGCGUCUGAAGGCUGGACCUCCUUUUUCACAGGUUGGCGUAGACUGUUUCGGGCCUUGGGAAGUGGUCACCAGAAAGACCAGAGGAGGUGCUGCUCAAAGCAAGAGGUGGGGAAUGAUAUUCUCCUGUCUCACUUCUAGGGCUAUUCAUAUCGAAGUUCUUGAGGAAAUGAGCACUUCGUCAUGCAUCAACGCACUUCGACGAUUUAUGGCUGUACGAGGCAAGGUUGAGACUUUUUGGUCCGAUAGAGGAUCAAACUUUGUGGGAGUGUUGAACGACAAGGUGUUUCAUACUUAUCUGGAGAGGAACGACACCGAAUGGAAGCUAAAUCCUCCCCAUGCCCCUCACAUGGGAGGAGUCUGGGAGAGAAUGAUUGGUUUGUUCAAGGGAAUUCUUAAUGGUAUCUUACUCGAGGCAAAACAGAGGGACCUUACACACGAGACUUUGGCCACCUUCAUGAUGGAAGCUAUGGCUAUUGUCAAUGCUCGACCUCUCGUCCCAUUGAGCUCUGAUCCAGAAGACACUUCCUUCCUCUCACCAUCUAUGCUUUUGACUCAGAAGCAUGGGAGCAUAGAAGAGGUACUUGUCGAAGAUUGCACCCGUAACAUGUACAAGGCUCAAUGGAAAAGAGUGCAAAUUCUAGCCGACCGGUUUUGGAAACAGUGGAGACUGCGCUACCUGCAAAGUCUUCAGCAGAGGCGCAAAUGGAUAAGCACGGAAAGGAAUGUCAAGAAAGGUGACAUAGUGUUGUUGAGAGACAAGGAGGUCAAAAGAAACCUUUGGCCUUUGGGCAUCAUUGAGAGUGUUAGUCCUGGAGAUGAUGGUUUGGUUCGUCAAGUGCAAGUUCGUCUGCCCUCGACUGGAAAAACCUUUUGCAGACCGAUUCAUGAGUUGAUUUUGUUGGUCGAGGCGGAAUAGAUACCUGUUCUCACUCCAAUCUUGGCAUGCUUGGACUUAAGUUAUUUGUGGAAAAUCUUGUACAAUUUUACAGUUUAUGGGCGGUGAUAUUUUAGCAAUUAUUGCUCUGUCAGUUUUAACGUCUAUUGGACGUUGGGGGGAGUGUGCUGCACGCGAUUAAAUAUAAUCUGUUCACUUGGCUUUCCAUAGUCAGAAACAAUGGCGCUCCUUUUGAGCGAACUAUCCUAUUUUCUCAAGCCACAAGUUUCGUAAAGUUUCUUAAAGUAUGGUUAUUAUAUCAUGUUUAAACUGGUUCUUGAAGGUUUAGGAUCGAGGUCUACUGCCUGAUGAUUUCGUUUAUAGGAGACAAGCGACAGAGAUUCAUGGGUUACAAUCCGAUUACGUCAGAUAGAUAGCUUGGAAGUGCACAAGUCUGUAAGUUCAUUUUGUUGAAUAGACAUGUAAGGACAGGAUAUAAGUCUACAUAAUUUUAGACUGGGAAACUGCCUUUGUAAGAAUGUUGUAUGAUAUACAAUGCUUUGUUCCUAAGUAUGGCAAGCCGUUUGCAGACCUCUAAAAUGGUCAGGUUUUGUAUAGGUACAGUCAUUACUAAAUAUUGUUGCAGUAAUUCUCAUUAUAACUUGAGCAUUAUUCCAUAAAUCUUGAAACUGAGAAUCUAUUGUUUGUUGUGAUUUUAAGGUGCAUCUGGUAGAAACUUUGAACAUAAAGGGAUUCACCUAUUAAAGUAAAUGUACGUUAGUAUUUUAUGUACUUACCUGUUUGGAUUAUGAUUGAUUCAUAAGUCUGAAUCUGCCUAGUUGGACUGUUGAGAACAUAGUUUGUUCUAUUAUGAUCUUUUACAUGUAUAAUUGAUGCGAUGUUAUCAUUCAUUGUAUUUUACAGUUUUACCACAUUCACGACGUUAUGCCGAAGUAAGGCUUGAAUAAAGACUAGAGUACAACCUUUCAA